UAGUCCACGCCGUAAACUAUGAUUACUCGUUGUUGGCAAUAUAUCGUCAGCGACUGAGCGAAAGCAUUAAGUAAUCCACCUGGGGAGUACGAUCGCAAGGUUGAAACUCAAAGGAAUUGACGGGGGCCCGCACAAGCGGUGGAGCAUGUGGUUUAAUUCGAUGAUACGCGAGGAACCUUACCUGGGCUUAAAUGUAGUGUGCAUGAGGGGGAAACCUCUCUUUCCUUCGGGACUCAUUACAAGGUGCUGCAUGGUUGUCGUCAGCUCGUGCCGUGAGGUGUCGGGUUAAGUCCCAUAACGAGCGCAACCCCUAUCCUUAGUUGCCAGCACGUAAUGGUGGGAACUCUAGGGAACUGCCUACGCAAGUAGAGAGGAAGGUGGGGAUGACGUCAAAUCAGCACGGCCCUUAUGUCCAGGGCUACGACACGUGCUACAAUGGUCGGUACAGAGGGCAGCUACCUGGUGACAGGGAUGCUAAUCUCGAAAGCCGAUCUCAGUUCGGAUU
rnacentral:rRNA from 1 species